rnacentral:rRNA from 1 species
CCUACGGGAGGCAGCAGUGAGGAAUAUUGGUCAAUGGGCGCGAGCCUGAACCAGCCAAGUCGCGUGAGGGAAGACGGCCCUACGGGUUGUAAACCUCUUUUGCCGGGGAGCAACGGGCGCCACGUGUGGCGCCACUGAGAGUACCCGGAGAAAAAGCAUCGGCUAACUCCGUGCCAGCAGCCGCGGGAAUACGGGGGAUGCGAGUGCUAUCCGUAUUUAUUGGGUUUAAGGGGUGCGUAGUCGGGGCGUUAAGUCAGGGGUAAAAUUGAGGGGCUCAACCCCUUCCCGCCAUUGAAACUGGCGCUCUUGAGUGGAAGAGAAGUAUGCGGAAUGCGUGGUGUAGCGGUGAAAUGCAUAGAUAUCACGCAGAACCCCGAUUGCGAAGGCAGCAUGCCGGCUUCCGACUGACGCUGAAGCACGAAAGCGUGGGGAUCGAACAGGAUUAGAUACCCCAGUAGUC